rnacentral:tRNA from 1 species
CAAGACAUAAUUUAAGUAGAAUGUUAGUUUUGGGGAUUAACUGCGAAAGUUAGAUUCUUUCUGUCUUGA